rnacentral:lncRNA from 1 species
GCCUCAAAAUGAACGGUUGAAAAUGAAAAUCUCAUAAAAAAUAGUGAUAAAGGACUCAAAUUUUAAAUCGGAAGUAUUGAUCUUGCUACUGAUGUUAAGUAGAAUUUUCUAUUAAAUUUUUAUAUAAUUUGGAUACUUCUACACCGUUGAACUUAAAAACGUGCCACAUCGGCCGUUAAAAUAAUCAUUUUUGAGACCUUUUGAUCGCUUCGUAAAUGAUGUCAAAAAAUUAUAAAAUUUGGUUUCUAAAUAGUUCCAAUAGGAUAGAUUAUACUUAACGGAGCCGAUCGUCGAAUCGGAUAUCCUAUCAUCGAAAACAACUUACAAGUACGGAGGUCUCCGUACUUUUAAAAGUACAGGAGACUUACUCUAUAUAUAUAUAUAUAUAUAUAUAUAGAAUUGUGCUACUAUACUAUUAAUAGUACCAAGCCUUUGGUACUAUUGAGUUUUUGACUGUUCGAUGAAAGGAUGUGUGGUUAGGAUGAUAGUGGUUCCCGGUUAAAUUGAUAGUAGUCUCCUAGGGUUGAGUGGGUGGUUGGUUUAAUAGUAUAAUUUAACGGGUGGAAAUGAUCAAAGGGUAGAUCUAACGGUAGAAAACUUAAUAGUACCAA